GCUUGCAUGGUGUAGUGGUCAGCACGCUCGAUGCGUAACUGAGAGGUCCGUGGUUCGAUUCCCGGUGAAGGCA
rnacentral:tRNA from 1 species